rnacentral:lncRNA from 1 species
ACCCGCCCAUUUGUCAGGUUUAGAUAAGACUAGUAGAGAUUAACGCUCUAAUAAUCCCACAUCAGAUUAAAAAACAAUUCUAAUAGAAAUAUAUGAGGCCUCACACUCUAAUAAUAGUAACUGAAUUUAAAUAUUUUUGAUCGUUACAGUUGGUAUUAAAACUGAAUACCAGCAAAAAAUAUAAGAGCUAAGUGUUAUACGGGAUAAAGUACUAUACAACGGGUUUGAUGAGGGCCAUCUACUUUUAAAAUCUCACGUCACAUAAUAGUUCUAGUCUAUAUCUCUAUAAUCGGGUUUGGGUGAGUUUAAAUAUUUUCGACAGAUGAUUUGAACCCAACGAAUUAUUAUUGCUAGAGAGCUGAAUCGUCACAUACAGAUAUAUGGGCCCGUGGUUCGUAGAGA